rnacentral:rRNA from 1 species
UAAAGUUCUAAAUAGAGUUAGAUAAUGACUAUCUCUAUUUAUUUGUCUUGACCAAAUCAUGUGCCAGCAGUCGCGGUAAGACAUGGAAGACUAGUGUUAUUCAUCUUAAAUGGGUUUAAAGGGUACUUAGACGGCUGUUAAUCGAAAUAAAAUAGCUAGAGUUUUGUAGAUGAAAGAAUUUAAAAAGUAGUGAUGCAAUAUUAUGAUAAUUUAAGGACUGGUAAAGGUGAAGACAAUCUUCAAAUAAAAACUGACGUUCAGGGACGAAGGCCUAGGUAUCGAUAAGGAUUAGAUACCCUAAUAGUCUGGGCAGUAAACUAUGAGUGCCAUAUGUUACAUUUAUACGAAUGUAUAAAUGAAAGUGUAAGCAUUCCACCUUAAGAGUAACGUGGCAACGCAGAAAUUGAAAUCAUUAGACCGCUUUUGAAACCUGUAGUGAAGUAUGUUAUUUAAUUCGAUGAUCCUCGAAGAAUCUUACCACAAUUUGAAUACAAGUGCUGCAUGGCUGUCUUAAGUUGAUGUUGUGAAAUUUAAUCAACGUAAACCCGUAUUUUAGUUCUCUAAAGGGACUAAGACAAGUCAAUAUGGCC